rnacentral:sRNA from 1 species
UCCCUCCACCCCUUGUGCUUGUGGCUGAAGAUAUUAGCUCUCAGCUAUUGCUCUAGCUCUGUGCUCGCUGCCAUUAUAAUCGUGGGCUCUAGCCCUCUGGAACCGUUAGCCCCAACUUAAAUGCUUUCUUUUAUAAGAUACUUUACUUAUGAUGUCUUGUCAUAGCGACAGAAAAGCAACUACAGCAGAAAAUAUUACCAUAAUUACCAUAUUACAGGAAGUGGAAUCUAGGGGGCUGAGGGGCGCAUUGACAAAGAGGAAAACCUUGCAGAGGUAGGAUUUUUUUCCUACAAUCCCAAAUCCAGUGCCUUAGAUAGCUUGGACACUACUACCACACGAGAGUAUUUCCUUGAAGGCCCGCUGGGUGUCGUCAUUCCCCCGUCCCCUAUUUGACAAGUGCUAGAGAACGCCAAUGGCCUCCGAUCCCUAACCACCCAGGAAGGGGAAGGAGGCACGCAAACAACUCCUUGACCUGUGAUUUGCAAAAUAAAAGCCACUGCAUCCCAUCGCCCACCCCACUGCAGCAUUCAAGAUUCAUCAGUUCACCGAGAGAAUUCCCACCAGGCAGAAAGCCAAAGGCCGAUCACUUUAAAAUGCAGGAUUCCAAUGCUUUAAAAGAACAAUCGCUGUUAUGACGUAAUCUGUAUUAGUAAAGUUCUGCACCCCCAACCCCCUCGUUCCUUGAACAUGAAAGAUUUGACUCAAUUAAAAAGAGUCUAAGUCCCUCAGUCAAGGAAGAUAUAAAACGAAAAGGUCCAUUUCUAACAGGAAAAAAGUCUGCAAGCUCCUUCAAGUUCAUCUUCCACAGAUUUCCAAGAGUUUGUAUAAAGAACAGUUUAUUCGUUAAGCUUUGAGCUCUCUCUUUGAAAUCCUGGACCUAAGAGUAGUAAGAAGACUGCGUGCAGUGUGUUGAAUAGUCUGUGGGACAUAGGAAGAUGACCUUGCAGUGCAGUGUCAUCUUUUGAUGAUGUGCAGUGAAGAGCUCGUCUAAUUGACAGGCUUCAAGGGGAAAGCCUGUGGCCAAGGAGUUUCGAGGUGUGGUUUGUAGACACCAGGCCCCUCCACAGGACGGGGAAUUGGACGGCAGAUCGGGAACUGAGAGAGGACAGAUGGACAAGGAAUGCAGAAUUAGAUGGUGCCUGGCGCAUACUGGGCGUACGGAAAACCAAACAAACCCCUGCUGAACAUUUCUGGCUCCACAGAGAGAUACCGAGAGCUGGAUAUAAAAUACAAUCUUAACCCAGAGUAUUUGUCUUCCUCGCUUACUUAUUUCUCUUUUAGACUUUUUCCUGAAUCUUGCAGUUUGGAUGACUUAGAAAUUCUGUCAAGACCGAAAGCCUAGCCUGGUGAGAAUGGACCAUAAGUGUUCGUGGUUUAUUUUUAUAUUUUAAUUUUGUUUCGUUUUUGACGAGGAGUAUCUAUCAUGAGUGGGACUAAGUGAUCCAAUAAUAAGCAAUACCAGAAGAAUGGUUUAAAGGACCAACCCGGCAAGUACACAUAUCUUACACCUUAAUCCGCCUUUACACACAUCUUUCCUUGCAUAUUGGCUCUCUGGCCUUCCUUUCUUUUACACCCGGGCAGGGCAGUUGCCUUGCCCCAGUGUUUAUGUAAUAACCAAAUGCCAAGCAUAUUUGAAAGGCACCUGAAAAUUCUCCUGGCUC